UGCGGAAGGAUCAUUACCGAGUGAGGGCCCUUUGGGUCCAACCUCCCACCCGUGUUUAUUUACCUCGUUGCUUCGGCGGGCCCGCCUUAACUGGCCGCCGGGGGGCUCACGCCCCCGGGCCCGCGCCCGCCGAAGACACCCCCGAACUCUGCCUGAAGAUUGUCGUCUGAGUGAAAAUAUAAAUUAUUUAAAACUUUCAACAACGGAUCUCUUGGUUCCGGCAUCGAUGAAGAACGCAGCGAAAUGCGAUACGUAAUGUGAAUUGCAAAUUCAGUGAAUCAUCGAGUCUUUGAACGCACAUUGCGCCCCCUGGUAUUCCGGGGGGCAUGCCUGUCCGAGCGUCAUUGCUGCCCUCAAGCCCGGCUUGUGUGUUGGGCCCCGUCCUCCGAUUCCGGGGGACGGGCCCGAAAGGCAGCGGCGGCACCGCGUCCGGUCCUCGAGCGUAUGGGGCUUUGUCACCCGCUCUGUAGGCCCGGCCGGCGCUUGCCGAUCAACCCAAAUUUUUAUCCAGGUUGACCUCGGAUCAGGUAGGGAUACCCGCUGAACUUAAGCAUAUCAAUAA
rnacentral:rRNA from 1 species